UACGGAGGGGACUAGCGUUGUUCGGAAUUACUGGGCGUAAAGCGCACGUAGGCGGAUUUGUAAGUCAGGGGUGAAAUCCCGGGGCUCAACCCCGGAACUGCAUUUGAUACUGCGAAUCUCGAGUCCGGAAGAGGUGAGUGGAAUUCCUAGUGUAGAGGUGAAAUUCGUAGAUAUUAGGAAGAACACCAGUGGCGAAGGCGGCUCACUGGUCCGGUACUGACGCUGAGGUGCGAAAGCGUGGGGAGCAAACAGG
rnacentral:rRNA from 1 species